AUUGAACGCUGGCGGCAGGCCUAACACAUGCAAGUCGAACGAGUGGCGGACGGGUGAGUAAUGUCUGGGAAACUGCCUGACGGAGGGGGAUAACUACUGGAAACGGUAGCUAAUACCGCAUACCAUCAGAUGUGCCCAGAUGGGAUUAGCUAGUAGGUGAGGUAACGGCUCACCUAGGCGACGAUCCCUAGCUGGUCUGCGAGGAUGACCAGCAACACGGGAACUGAGACACGGUCCAGACUCCUACGGGGGUCAGCAGUGGGGAAUAUUGCACAAUGGGCGAAAGCCUGAUGAAGCCAUGCCGCGUGUAUGAAGAAGGCCUUCGGGUUGUAAAGUACUUUCAGCGGGGAGGCGUUACCCGCAGAGGAAGCACCGGCUAACUCCGUGCCAGCAGCCGCGGUAAUAC
rnacentral:rRNA from 1 species